AUGAUCUCCCGAUCUCAAGUAGAGGGACCUUCAGUGGAUCAUAUAGGUUUUUUUCUGGACACUAGAUUGAGAGAUCUUUCUACAAGCAGACCUCCACAUUUGAUUUUACCUACUUUGAAUGCUAGUGUUUUCCCAGGUUCAGAUAUUGCCAUAUAUCAUAACCUGAAAUAGACUUCUGUGCAAAUUUUAUAAGAUUGGCAGGAUUUUAAAAUUUAUCUUAAUUAGACACAAUAAUUGUACACGUUUGUGAGGUACAAUGUAAUUCUUAAAAAUCUGAAUACAAUUUGUAAUAAUCAAACUAGAGUAAUUAGCAUAGCUAUUACAUUAGACAUCUGUUAUUUUUUGUGGUAAGAAGAGUCAAAAUCAUUUUUUCCAAUUAUUUUGAAAUGUACAGCACAGUAUUGUUAACUAUGGUCAACCUGCCGUGCAAUGGAACACUGGAACUUAUCCUAUCUAACUAUAACUCUGUAACUUUGUAUACUUUGACCACCUUUGUACUUCUCCCCUUCCUCCCUAACCUUCCCAGCCUCUGGUAACUGUCAUUUUUCUCUCCAUUUCUAUCAUAUCAACUUUUUAAGAUUUCAUAUAUGAGUGAGAACAUGCAAUAUUUGUCUUUCUGUUCCCAGCUUAUUUAACUUGAUAUGGUGUCCUCCAGGGCCAUCCAUGUGACUGCAAAUGAUAGAAUUUUAUUCUUUUUUAUGGACAAACAAUAUUCUGUUGUGUAAAUAUACCAUAUUUUUUUCUCCAUUCACCCAUUGGUGGAUACUUAGUUUGACUCCAUAUCGUGGUUAUUGCAAAUAAUGCUGCAAUAAACACAGAAGUGCAGAUUAUCUAUUUGAAAUACUGAUUUCAUUUCCUUUGGAUAUAUACUCCAUAAUGGGAUUCCUGAAUUGUAUUGUAGUUCUAUUUUUAAUUUGUUUAAUUAUACUUUAAGUUCAGGGGUACAUGUACAGAACGUGCAGGUUUGUUACAUAGGUAUACAUGUGCCAUGCUGGUUUGCUGCAUUCAUCACCUUAUCAUCUACAUUAUGUAUUUCUCCAAAUACUAUCC
rnacentral:lncRNA from 1 species